rnacentral:rRNA from 1 species
GACGAACGCUGGCGGCGUGCCUAAUACAUGCAAGUUGAGCGCUGAAGGUUGGUACUUGUACCAACUGGAUGAGCAGCGAACGGGUGAGUAACGCGUGGGGAAUCUGCCUUUGAGCGGGGGACAACAUUUGGAAACGAAUGCUAAUACCGCAUAAAAACUUUAAACACAAGUUUUAAGUUUGAAAGAUGCAAUUGCAUCACUCAAAGAUGAUCCCGCGUUGUAUUAGCUAGUUGGUGAGGUAAAGGCUCACCAAGGCGAUGAUACAUAGCCGACCUGAGAGGGUGAGCGGCCACAUUGGGACUGAGACACGGCCCAAACUCCUACGGGAGGCAGCAGUAGGGAAUCGUCGGCAAUGGACGAAAGUCUGACCGAGCAACGCCGCGUGAGUGAAGAAGGUUUUCGGAUCGUAAAACUCUGUUGGUAGAGAAGAACGUUGGUGAGAGUGGAAAGCUCAUCAAGUGACGGUAACUACCCAGAAAGGGACGGCUAACUACGUG